rnacentral:rRNA from 1 species
GGAUUAGAUACCCUGGUAGUCCACGCCGUAAACGAUGUCGACCAGCCGUUGGGUGCCUAGCGCACUUUGUGGCGAAGUUAACGCGAUAAGUCGACCGCCUGGGGAGUACGGCCGCAAGGUUAAAACUCAAAUGAAUUGACGGGGGCCCGCACAAGCGGUGGAGCAUGUGGUUUAAUUCGAUGCAACGCGAAGAACCUUACCUACCCUUGACAUCCUGCGAACUUGUGAGAGAUCACUUGGUGCCUUCGGGAGCGCAGAGACAGGUGCUGCAUGGCUGUCGUCAGCUCGUGCCG